UAUAUAUAUAUAUAUAUAUAUAUAUAUAUAUAUAUGUGUGUGUGUGUGUGUGUGUGUGUGUGUAUGCGUGCAUAUUUUUCUCGAUUUAUAUACAUAUGUAUAUUAUAUAUAUGUGUAUGUGCGUACACGCGCGGAUGUUAUGUAUAUAUUAGACUGUUUGAAAAAAUAUUUUUUUAUUGAAAAAAGAUAUUAUAGCUCCCAUGCAAAAAAAUACUAAAAAAAUGGCAUGCGGACUUUUCAAGAGAGCAAGUACCAUUAACC
rnacentral:lncRNA from 1 species